rnacentral:tRNA from 1 species
GGCACUUUGGCGGAGUGGUUAACGCGCUGCCCUGCUACCAAGCAGAUCCAGGCAGUUCCUUCGGGAGCGCAGGUUCGAAUCCUGCAGGUGUCG